CUCUUGUUUGUCUGGAGGAAAGGUGGAGAUGUGUGUAUACAGGGAUGUGGAGAUUGAAUGACAUUUGCACAGCUGGAAUGUAGUUCACACUCCUUGCUCCUCCCACUUCUUUGCCUCUGGCUCCACCCACCACUGGUAUAAAUCCCUCCCCAGACUGCCUUCUAAGGAAUACAGUUCUGGGCAGCAGGAGGGGUCCCCCAACUCUGUCCCACUCAGCUAGGUCACGGUGCAAGAUCAGUCUUCCUUCCCUAGCCAUGUCUUCAG